UACGAAGGGGGCUAGCGUUGCUCGGAAUCACUGGGCGUAAAGCGCACGUAGGCGGUCUUUUAAGUCAGGGGUGAAAUCCUGGAGCUCAACUCCAGAACUGCCUUUGAUACUGAGAGACUUGAGUCCGGGAGAGGUAAGUGGAAUUCCGAGUGUAGAGGUGAAAUUCGUAGAUAUUCGGAAGAACACCAGUGGCGAAGGCGACUUACUGGACGAUUGUUGACGCUGAGGUGCGAAAGCGUGGGGAGCAAACAGG
rnacentral:rRNA from 1 species